CGAGAAAAGCCUCUAGAUAGAAAAUAGGUGCCCGUACCGCAAACCGACACAGGUAGUCAAGAUGAGAAUUCUAAGGUGAGCGAGCGAACUCUCGUUAAGGAACUCGGCAAAAUGACCCCGUAACUUCGGGAGAAGGGGUGCUCUUUAGGGUUAACGCCCAGAAGAGCCGCAGUGAAUAGGCCCAAGCGACUGUUUAUCAAAAACACAGGUCUCUGCUAAACCGUAAGGUGAUGUAUAGGGGCUGACGCCUGCCCGGUGCUGGAAGGUUAAGAGGAGUGGUUAGCUUCUGCGAAGCUACGAAUCGAAGCCCCAGUAAACGGCGGCCGUAACUAUAACGGUCCUAAGGUAGCGAAAUUCCUUGUCG
rnacentral:rRNA from 1 species